rnacentral:rRNA from 1 species
UACGGGGGGAGCAAGCGUUGUUCGGAUUUACUGGGCGUAAAGGGCGCGUAGGCGGUCAGCACAAGUCAGUUGUGAAAUCUCCGGGCUUAACUCGGAAAGGUCAACUGAUACUGUGCGACUAGAGUGCGGAAGGGGCAACUGGAAUUCUCGGUGUAGCGGUGAAAUGCGUAGAUAUCGAGAGGAACACCGGCGGCGAAGGCGGCGCUCUGGACCGAGACUGACGCUGAGGCGCGAAAGCGUGGGGAGCAAACAGG